rnacentral:rRNA from 1 species
UACGAAGGGGGCUAGCGUUGUUCGGAAUCACUGGGCGUAAAGCGUACGUAGGCGGCUUUUUAAGUCAGGGGUGAAAUCCUGGAGCUCAACUCCAGAACUGCCUUUGAUACUGAGAAGCUUGAGUCCGGGAGAGGUGAGUGGAACUGCGAGUGUAGAGGUGAAAUUCGUAGAUAUUCGCAAGAACACCAGUGGCGAAGGCGGCUCGCUGGCCCGGUACUGACGCUGAGGUGCGAAAGCGUGGGGAGCAAACAGG